rnacentral:rRNA from 1 species
UACGGGGGGUGCGAGCGUUGUCCGGAAUCACUGGGCGUAAAGGGCGCGUAGGCGGUCUGAUAAGGGUGUGGUGAAAGCCCGGGGCUCAACCCCGGGUCGGCCGUGCCGACUGUUGGACUAGAGUGCUGUAGGGGCAGGCGGAAUUCCGGGUGUAGCGGUGGAAUGCGUAGAGAUCCGGAGGAAGACCGGUGGCGAAGGCGGCCUGCUGGGCAGUUACUGACACUGAGGCGCGACAGCGUGGGGAGCAAACAGG